GAAGAUAGGACAGUCCUCAUAAGCUCCUUCAAAUUGGCUAGUACAUGGCGAGGUCCUAAACUCUUGACACCAAUGAAAUUCAAAAGUUGCUCUAAAUCCUGAAAACACAGGGAAGAUAUCUUUU